rnacentral:rRNA from 1 species
GGUUAAGCGACUAAGCGUACACGGUGGAUGCCCUGGCAGUCAGAGGCGAUGAAGGACGUGCUAAUCUGCGAAAAGCGUCGGUAAGGUGAUAUGAACCGUUAUAACCGGCGAUGUCCGAAUGGGGAAACCCAGUGUGAUUCGUCACACUAUCGUUAACUGAAUACAUAGGUUAACGAGGCGAACCGGGGGAACUGAAACAUCUAAGUACCCCGAGGAAAAGAAAUCAACCGAGAUUCCCCCAGUAGCGGCGAGCGAACGGGGAGCAGCCCAGAGUCUGAAUCAGCUUGUGUGUUAGUGGAACGGUCUGGAAAGUCCGACGGUACAGGGUGAUAGUCCCGUACACCAAAAUGCACAGGUUGUGAACUCGAAGAGUAGGGCGGGACACGUGGUAUCCUGUCUGAAUAUGGGGGGACCAUCCUCCAAGGCUAAAUACUCCUGACUGACCGAUAGUGAACCAGUACCGUGAGGGAAAGGCGAAAAGAACCCCGGCGAGGGGAGUGAAAAAGAACCUGAAACCGUGUACGUACAAGCAGUGGGAGCACCUUCGGGUGUGACUGCGUACCUUUUGUAUAAUGGGUCAGCGACUUAUAUUCUGUAGCAAGGUUAACCGUAUAGGGGAGCCGCAGGGAAACCGAGUCUUAACUGGGCGUUAAGUUGCAGGGUAUAGACCCGAAACCCGGUGAUCUAGCCAUGGGCAGGUUGAAGGUUGGGUAACACUAACUGGAGGACCGAACCGACUAAUGUUGAAAAAUUAGCGGAUGACUUGUGGCUGGGGGUGAAAGGCCAAUCAAACCGGGAGAUAGCUGGUUCUCCCCGAAAGCUAUUUAGGUAGCGCCUCGUGAACUCAUCUUCGGGGGUAGAGCACUGUUUCGGCUAGGGGGUCAUCCCGACUUACCAACCCGAUGCAAACUACGAAUACCGAAGAAUGUUAUCACGGGAGACACACGGCGGGUGCUAACGUCCGUCGUGAAGAGGGAAACAACCCAGACCGCCAGCUAAGGUCCCAAAGUCAUGGUUAAGUGGGAAACGAUGUGGGAAGGCACAGACAGCCAGGAUGUUGGCUUAGAAGCAGCCAUCAUUUAAAGAAAGCGUAAUAGCUCACUGGUCGAGUCGGCCUGCGCGGAAGAUGUAACGGGGCUAAACCAUGCACCGAAGCUGCGGCAGCGACACUAUGUGUUGUUGGGUAGGGGAGCGUUCUGUAAGCCUGCGAAGGUGUGCUGUGAGGCAUGCUGGAGGUAUCAGAAGUGCGAAUGCUGACAUAAGUAACGAUAAAGCGGGUGAAAAGCCCGCUCGCCGGAAGACCAAGGGUUCCUGUCCAACGUUAAUCGGGGCAGGGUGAGUCGACCCCUAAGGCGAGGCCGAAAGGCGUAGUCGAUGGGAAACAGGUUAAUAUUCCUGUACUUGGUGUUACUGCGAAGGGGGGACGGAGAAGGCUAUGUUAGCCGGGCGACGGUUGUC